UAUUCUUCUUAUUCGGGAAGGAUGAGAAGCUUCGACCAAGGUUCGAUUCGAGCGUUAGCGAGAAAGCGUUGCCGUAGGCAACGACCCGAAGGGCGAAGCGCGCAGCGCUGAGUAAUCCUUCCCCCACCACCA
rnacentral:sRNA from 2 species